CGGUCAACAAAAGUCAACGCAAUUUUAAAAAAAUUAAGGGCAAAAUUGUAAAAAAUGUAACAAAUGCUUCUAGGGUUGCUUCCAUUUUCUCAUUCGAUGCUGUCAAAAUAAAAUCGACAUUCUCUCUGUCUCUCUGAACCACGAACGAGAAUGAACAAAGGGAAAUUAAUCGCAUCUUCUUCUUUCGUUCACCUUCAACAAUCUCACGCCGUCGUUUUUAGCUCUGGCCCCCGGUUCGUCAUCUCCUUCAAGCAACGAUGUCGCAGUCUCCUUCCAAGCUCCAGUUCACGACUUCAGCUUAUCGGUUCCAAAAUCAACUCUUGAAGUUUAUCGAUUCCAAAAUCAACUCUUCUUCCGACUUCAACUCCUCUUGUCAACACUAAUUGAGUUAUCCAGGUUCGUUUUUACUUCUAACUCUUCUUCCGACUUCUCACUUAUCGGUAGCAUGUUUGUUGACCAUGGGUUAAGUCCCAAUGGUGAAAUCGAUUGAGAUUAGGAAAAUAGAAUAGCGAUUACAUAAAAGCUCGUAAUCUCUUAUGAAAAUGUUGUGCAUGUGAUAGCGAAUCAAGGUGCACACCAGCUGUUUGAUGUUUUGUCACAGUGAAAUUUGAUUCACAUUUGUUGGAGGUUGCAGCGUUCAAGAUUGUGUUUUCUAUAGUUUGUUCUUUCUUCUGUUCUUUUAUCACAUCCUUUCAAAGAUUUGAGUGGUAAAAUUCCUUCUGAAAUUUAGGAUAUGGAGAAAUUAGAAGUGAUUGAUCUUGAAGGUAAUUCAAUUCACGACAAUUACAAGUAACAGGUAGGGUAACCCUUCAUGAAAUCGUUAGCUAACCUUUCAUGAACUCGUUUGUUCUUUCUUCUGUUGGUUUCUAAAAUCGUUGUUACAUUGCUUUCUAAAACUGUUUGUUCUUUCUUCAUCUUUUUCUAGUUCGAGGUUUGGAUUUGUGCUCGGUUGUAACAGGUAGGGUAGAAGUGGUGGUGAUGUUUGGUUGGAAUGAAAACGAAAAAUAAGCGACUUCGACAUUUGCCCACCAAGUGUUCGAUCAAUUGCUUGAGUGAAUGUUGAUAAUGUUGAUAAGGUGCAACAACCCGUUCGAUCAAUUACAGGGACAACUUGUUGGAUUUGUUGUUGAUGAAGCACAUUGUGUAAGAUUACAAAGUGUCGGGGUGUCUAAAGCAGAAUUUUCCAAAUGUUCCUAUGAUGGCAUUAACUGCUACUAAAACAGCUUGGAAAGUUAGCAUGAGAUCGAUUCAAAAACUCAUUAAAAGUUGGUUAUUAAGAUGUAUUAAGUGAUUGAGAAAAGCAAUGUAAUAGUUAGUUAUUUAGAUGUGAUGUAUUAAAAAUCAAAGGGUUUUUUUUUGUAAUCAUAUUUUCAUGUUAUAAUGUUCUAUUUAUGUUA